GACGAACGCUGGCGGCGUGCUUAACACAUGCAAGUCGAACGGUAAGGCCCUUCGGGGUACACGAGUGGCGAACGGGUGAGUAACACGUGGGUGAUCUGCCCUGCACUUCGGGAUAAGCCUGGGAAACUGGGUCUAAUACCGGAUAGGACCACUGCCUGCAUGGGUGGUGGUGGAAAGCUUUUGCGGUGUGGGAUGGGCCCGCGGCCUAUCAGCUUGUCGGUGGGGUGAGGGCCUACCAAGGCGACGACGGGUGGCCGGCCGGAGAGGGUGACCGGCCACACGGGGGAUGAGAAACGGCCCAGGCUCCUGCGGGGUGCAGGAGUGGGGAAUGUUGCACAAUGGGCGCAAGCCUGAUGCAGCGACGCCGCGUGAGGGAUGACGGCCUUCGGGUUGUAAACCUCUUUCAGCACCGACGAAGCGCGAGUGACGGUAGGUGCAGAAGAAGGACCGGCCAACUACGUGCCAGCCGCCGCAGUAA
rnacentral:rRNA from 1 species